UUCAAACUUUGGCUGAACUAAAAAUUAUACGAUUAUAUCAAUGGCAAGUGCUGGAUAUAAAAUCUAUACACAACCCUCUACAUGUUUUUUAUUUGUCAUUUGAUGAAAUAUAAGAGAAAAACAAAUUAUCCGGAUAUUAAGUAAGUAUUAAGAUAUUCAGUAAUACGAAUAAGUAAUUUCGUUAAAAUUCUCCAAAUUAGAUGGUCCAACUACUUGUAUAAGACGCAUUUGCAUAAUAAACAAAAGUUGACAUCAUUUGGUGGGCCCAGCAUCGAAAUUUAGUAAGAGCUAUAAUCAAAUGAUUAUUCAAAGCCCUUCACCUUUCGGCGUAGGUGGGCUUAAAAGACAGAUCGUAUCUCAACUGAGAUUUAUAACUUGUUGCCAAGCUUUUAAGUUAAACAAUGUCGCUUUUCUUUCACUUAUAAUUGA